UAGGCGCGAACCCUAAAUGACUGGCAAGAACCCUAAACAAAUAUCAACAUGCAUUCAAGGAGAAGAGUCGCAUACCUUUCAAAGAUUGACGACGAUGAAAAAUGUGUACAAACGACCGACAAGAAGGUGGUCAAACACUCGGAUGAAGAUGAGAGACGACGAGAGAAAAUGAGAGAAACUUGAGAGCCAGAAUCGCACAGUGAAAGAUGUAAGUGAAAAAAUGGGUGGAUGAUCCUUCGUAAAGCAGUCUUAAGAGUUUUUUAAAUUAGAGACAAAAUUAAUAUUUCAUGUGGACAAAAGAUCAAUCAUAGAUAAGUUUUUAAAAAGAGCACAUUCAUAGAAAAGUUUUUUAGAUUUGGAUUUUAUGAAAUUUUUCCAAAUCUUAUUUUCCCAAAAUUUGGUCAUCCACCAUGGUACCAAAUAGAUUACCUUUUUGAAUCCGAAUAUUUAGAGCAAAUCCAUGUUAUACCCAAUUGGGUACCCUGAAUUUCCGCCCGUCACGUGAACCAAUGACGAUACAACACUCCCGGCGCGUGGCAGUGAUCGGCGCCGGCGCCGGUGGCCUCGUCUCGGCGCGGGAACUUUCCCGCGAGGGCCACCAUGUGGUCGUAUUCGAACGGAAUACUCAAAUCGGAGGGACCUGGGUAUAUUCGCCGGAAAUUGAAUCCGACCCGCUUGGAGUCGACCCGAAUCGGACCCGAAUCCAUAGCAGCCUCUACAAAUCUCUACGCACCAAUCUUCCCAGAGAACUCAUGGGGGUCCGCGAUUACCCGUUUGUGCCUCGAGAAGGGAAGGAUCGAGAUCCGAGGCGAUUUCCAGCUCAUGGAGAGGUUCUAAAGUAUUUGGAAGAUUUCGCGAAUGAAUUUGGGAUUUGUAAAUUGGUGAGAUUUGGAACUGAGGUCGUGUUUGCCAGUUUGGAGGAGCUUGGGAAAUGGAGGGUUGAAUUUAGAUGUGAAAAUGGGGCUGUUGAUUAUGACAUUUUUGAUGCUGUGGUUGUUUGUGUUGGGAACUUUUCGCAGCCUCGAGUGGCAGAGAUUCCUGGGAUAGAUGGAUGGCCUGGGGUCCAAGUGCAUAGUCAUAAUUAUCGUGAUCCCGAACCAUUUCGGGGUAAGGUUGUUGUCUUGAUAGGUUAUUCUUUUAGUGGUAUGGACAUUUCUCAGGAGCUCAAUGGGAUUGCCAAAGAAAUUCAUGUUGCUUGCAGAUCAGCUAAAACAGAGCUUUUGGACACACAAUCAACUAUUAGUAAUGUAUCAUUUCAUCCAAUGAUUGAAAGUGUCCGUAAAGAUGGAACAGUGGUCUUUCAAGACGGGUGCAUCGUUUCGGCUGAUGUUAUUCUGCAUUGCACUGGGUACAAAUAUCACUUCCCUUUCCUUGACACCAAUGGCAUUGUUAUGGUGGACGACAACCGUGUAGGACCUCUAUACAAGCAUGUCUUCCUUCCAGCAUUGGCCCCAGGGCUUUCCUUUGUUGGGUUACUAUUUACGGCAAGUAUCCAAUUGUGGCUGUUCCUUUGCCCAUGUUUGAGCUUCAAAGCAAUUGGGUUGCUGGUGUUUUAUCAAACAGGAUUGCAUUUCCAUCUAAAGAAGAGAUGUUGGCAGAUGUAAACAAAUUUUAUGCAGAUCUUGAAGCUCUUGGCAAGCCCAAGCAUCGGACCCAUGAAUUGGGUGAUUAUAUGACGUGUGAGGACACACUCUUGGACACUUAGUCACCAUGAACAUGUGUUCUGCGCUCGCCUUUACUCGGGAAGAAGAAAAUUUUGAGGAAGAAGAUUUGAAGAAAACGAAGAAUAGGGAAGAGGAGUAGGAGAAGAGAAGAGUUGGGGAAGGUAGUGUUUCGACUAUCUGUACAUAACCCCAGUGGUUUGUUACUGUUAAGAGUUCUAACCUAAGUGAACAUUGGUGGAAAAGCUGAUGUUUGGAAUAUGGAGAUGUUCAAGGUUCGAAUCUCAUGUUGAAAACUUAGAUCCGUUUGAUUAUCAUUUUUUUUUUUUUAGUUUAGAUUUUUUUUCUAAUUUGUCUAUAUAUAUAUUUUCAAA